rnacentral:rRNA from 1 species
AUACGUAGGGGGCAAGCGUUGUCCGGAAUUACUGGGCGUAAAGAGUUCGUAGGCGGCCCUGCAAGUCAGAGGUUAAAGGCAUUGGCUCAACCAAUGUAAGCCUUUGAAACUGUAGGGCUUGAGUGCAGGAGAGGAGAGCGGAAUUCCUAGUGUAGCGGUGAAAUGCGUAGAUAUUAGGAGGAACACCAGUGGCGAAGGCGGCUCUCUGGACUGCAACUGACGCUGAGGAACGAAAGCGUGGGUAGCGAACAGGAUUAGAUACCCUGGUAGUCCACGCCGUAAACGAUGAGUGCUAGGUGUCGGGGGCGACAGUCUUCGGUGCCGCAGUUAACACAUUAAGCACUCCGCCUGGGGAGUACGGUCGCAAGACUGAA